AUUAGUCAGUCAUACAUUUACAAGAACUUCCACACCUAUAUUUUUAACACUAAAUAUUUAUUCGUAUAUCGAUAAAAUCGUUUUUAUUAGGAUAUAGUUAUUAAGUAAAAUACCUCUGGGAUAGAUAUUUAUUUUUUGUAAUGUAAGAUAAUUAGGAAUGAGAUUAAAGGACUGGGUUCUAUGACAUUUUAACACUUAAUAUUUCUAUUUGAUUGACAUGUAAAAAAUUCUAGUAAACAAAACAAAUAUUUUCUUUCUUUAUUAUUUUUAUCUUCUUGCAUCAUGGAAACAACAUCUCAUAUGCCUCCGCAGCCACGCGAGCGGCAGCCACCUCCGGAGCCCCGGGUACGUCAGCCUCCACCACCACCACGGCGUGCAACCGCGCAGCCUCCACCCCAGCCGAGAGAGCGCCACGCGCCCCCUGCGCCCCGGGAGAGGAUACCACCACCUCCUCCAAAACACUGAACCCAGAUCUCGACAACUAUGUAGAAAUAUCAGGGAAUGCUUUUGACAUUAGAAAUUAAUAGUGGGCUCAUACUAUUAUAUAUUUUUUUUUCAGUCUAUGAUAACCCAAAUAAUCCAAAGCAUUUCCUGGUGUAACUGCUCAUUAAUGUUUUAUUGUCUUUCUUACUAAGGAUAUUAUGAGUAAUAUGAUCCAUGUGUUAUGUAUGACUCAUACUAGGAUAAUGCAGCUGUUGUUGAUAAAGAAAUCAGCAGGAUAUAUUUUGCUGAUGUUUGUGUGAACAAGAAUUAUUGUACAACUGUUUUAUACACAUAUAUUUUGUACUUUUUUAUUAAAAUGUUUAUAAGA